UACAGAGGUCUCAAGCGUUGUUCGGAUUCAUUGGGCGUAAAGGGUGUGUAGGCGGCGCCGCAAGUCAGGUGUGAAAUCUCGGGGCUUAACUCCGAAACUGCAUUUGAUACUGCGGUGCUUGAGGACUGGAGAGGAGACUGGAAUUUACGGUGUAGCGGUGAAAUGCGUAGAUAUCGUAAGGAAGACCAGUGGCGAAGGCGGGUCUCUGGACAGUUCCUGACGCUGAGGCACGAAGGUCAGGGGAGCAAACGGG
rnacentral:rRNA from 1 species